UGAGGAAUAUUGGGCAAUGCCCGCAAGGGUGACCCAGCAACGCCGCGUGGAGGAUGAAUGUCGUAAGAUUGUAAACUCCUGUUAGAGGGGAAGAAUAGUACCGGUUGGACCGGUAUAUGACUGUACCCUCAGAGAAAGCCCCGGCUAACUACGUGCCAGCAGCCGCGGUAAUACGUAGGGGGCAAGCGUUGUCCGGAUUUACUGGGUGUAAAGGGCGCGCAGGCGGGAUAAAAAGUCAGUGGUGAAAUCCUACAGCUUAACUGUAGAACUGCCUUUGAUACUUUUAUUCUUGAGUUCGGGAGAGAGAGACGGAAUUCCAGGUGUAGUGGUGAAAUACGUAGAUAUCUGGAAGAACACCAGUUGCGAAGGCGGUCUCUUGGUCCGACACUGACGCUGAGGCGCGAAAGCGUGGG
rnacentral:rRNA from 1 species